AUUGAACGCUGGCGGCGUGCUUUACACAUGCAAGUCGGACGAGUGGCGAACGGGUGAGUAACGCAUCGGAACGUACCUAGGAAUGGGGGCUAACUUUGCGAAAGGACAGCUAAUACCGCAUAUUAUUCGAGCGGCCGAUGUUUGAUUAGCUGGUUGGCGGGGUACAGGCCCCCAAAGGCGACGAUCAGAAGCGGGUCUGAGAGGCGGAUACGCCACACUGGGACUGAGACACGGCCCAGACUCCGACGGGAGGCAGCAGUGGGGAAUGUUGGACAAUGGGCGCAAGCCUGAUCCAGCCAUGCCGCGUGUCUGAAGAAGGCCUUCGGGUUGUAAAGGACUUUUGUCAGGGAAGCGGUACCUGAAGAAUAAGCACCGGCUAACUACGUGCCAGCAGCCGCGGUAAUAC
rnacentral:rRNA from 1 species